CUGGCUCUGGGCUGCUCCCCGGGGACAAGAUAUUUGCAUUGACGGUGUCCAGAGCUGAGCCCAAUGUGGGAAGGACCUGCCUUCUGGAAGCUGCUGCUCCCUGGUGCUUGGAAAGGUACUGCGUCAAGCCGGUUCGUGGAGGUUCUCACCACGACUCUGCAAGUGGUGGUAAGUGUUCUGAUCAGGGUGAGAACCCUUGUUUAUCAGAACCUUCACAUUUUUCCUUUCUCAAUCCUCAGUAUCUGCAAAAUGACUCUUAAAAGGUAGAUCCUCACAAUGUGUCUAUUUAAGGAAUUGUGUAAGUCCCCAGUGCUGUGUAGGAGUCUGGGUAGCUGAUCGUCUUGUAUCCAGGGUCUGGGUCGCUUAGCUGUCGCAUGCCACCCUCCCUGCUACCUUUCUGAACUUGCUCCUUUGCAGCCAGGUUCACUCACAGUGAUGGCUUCUGUCUGUAGCUGAGAUUGAUGGAGUAACAGAUUUCGGUUAUCCUGGCUGCCUUCCUCUUAGAAAAGGAGGCAGACGUGGGGUGGGUUGUAGCAUCUCCAGAGCAGAAGAAGCUCCAGAAGUCAGUGGAGACCGUAGAAGGCAGGGAGCAGAGACACUGCACUUGGACAGACCUAGAUUUGCAUCUUGACCCUGCCUUGUCUUAGCUGGGUGGUUUUGGACAAGUCAUCUGAUUUUUCUAAGUCCUCAUACCCUCAGUCAGUGAGGUAGAGCUGCUAGAACCUACUACACAGAAAUGCCCAAUACGUUGCCACACAAAUGGGUUCCCAAAUGAAAGUGAUGUCACUCUCUUAAAGGACUUAAGGGAGGAACGUAGCAGGUGGUUCAAGAACAAAUGGGGAGAAGGGAGCUUGCCUUUGGUGAUAUUGUAAGUGGGGGCAGGGGAGGUGGUAACUGAGCAGUGGGCACCCGAAGCCUCCAAGGUAGUGCCUUGCCCCCACCUGGGGUAAAUACCCCAUUCACUUCUGCACCAGGAAAACCCCAUGGGAGUGGAGCCCUGAGGACUCGUGGUGGCAGAGUGAGGGUUAACCAGCGAGCCUUCCUUGGGAGCCUUUGAUGCCAGUGUGUCGGGAGCUGGGAGAUGGAGCGCUCAGCUGAGUGGCCAGGACGUUCUGUCAACACAAAAGCAGCAAAAACAGCUUGUCGGGUUUGGAGCUGACCCUUAGGCUGCAGUCAUUUUCAGCAGGGUCUUGGCAGAGGAGAGGGCCGUUUUCGGUGGAGGCGACACCAGGUAACUCAGCAGGGCUCUGCUGACCCUGGGAUUUUGGAAUCUGAGGAGAAAAGGCAGCUGUUCAUGUUAGUAGAGGAGCUUGGCAAACAGAUUCACUUCUCGAGCUUCUCUCACUGGUCCCAAAGCAGAGGCGUCUUCUCAGGGUCAGAAAACCCUCUGGAAUUUCACACCACGGCCUGUUGCCUUGGCCAGAAGAAGCCGUGCAUAUGAAGAGAGCCCAGGUUCUGCAUUUCAGAGGGGUCUCAUCUCUUGGGUUUGUUUUCUGAAAGAGGUGACAGACAGGCCCUCCUUGAUGAGACCUCCAUGCCCACCAGGACUGGCCUUCCUCUAGGAUGAUGGGCCCAGCAUGGCUUGUAUGGUGAGCAGCAGCAGAGGACCAUGGUCCCAGGGCCACAUGUUAACCCCAGACAGGACCUUGAUUGGGGCCUGCACAGUUCAUUGUUGUUGAGCCCACUUGUCCUCCUUUCACUGCUUCCCCACAGAGAACUCAGAGAAGUUUUGCUCUGUGAGUAGGUGACAACCUCUUGGAGGCUUGGCUCCAUUGAGGACAGAGCUGGUGUGCAGAAGACAGCCUUCAUACUAUUGGAUGUAAUGGCCCAUUUGCAUUCAUUUGGAACAAAAAAAGGGAUGCCUGGCAGCCUGGUUCCCUGCAGGAAGGAUAUGUCUGCAUUCUUUUAUUCCUUAAACAUCGGAAGUGGAUAAAUGUUUAUUGAACCCAGCCAGCUGCUGUGCCCUCUCUGUUCUUUUCCCACACACCCCUGCCCCUGGUCCUCCAAAAGAGAUGCAUUUUUCUAGUGCUGUUGGGGAGCUGCAGAGAGGCUAGAACUCGGCGUCCAGCCUCCACAUGUCCCCCUCACAUUCAGGAGAAGCCUAUUUUCCCUAAAAUGGAGCCAAAAUCCCAUGUCCCUCAGUGCAGUGUUAGUGGAUUGAGUGCGAGGGCCCUGCUUGCCCUCGCUGCCCCAGCAGAGAGAUGAGGCUCUCCGUGGGCUGGCUGACUGGAGAGGAUGGUCCUUGCCAGCAUCUAGCAUGGUUCUCUGCCAAGUUCUAGCUCCAAAUCUUCAGGCUGGUAGGAACCUAGACUAUAUAUAGCAUUGUGCUAAGUAAUUCUUAUCGGACGUGUCUGCCCUCCCCUGCAGGAGAGGGGCACUUCUAUCAGAGAAUCUGAACCUGGGGAGAGUGAGCCAUCUCCAAGGGGCCCUGCAUUCUGGGAAGGGGGUGUGUGGGUCUGUGCUUGCAUGUGUGUGCGCAUCCGUGUGCAUUUGUGUCUGCUUCAUUGCUGCCAAGUCUUCUUUCCUUUCCCCUAUAGAUGCUGAUAGAUUCAAAGGUCAUGUGGAUAAGGGUGCUGUGGGGCGAUGAGAGCCAGGAGGGGCCAGUGGUUCUCGGUGGAUUUGGGGUUUGGAGGAGGACGGGCUGGGCCACAUGAUGUGGCUAAAAACAAUGUGGGUGUGGGCACAGUAUGGCCUUAAAGUAGACAAACCUCCGUAUGUCUUCCUCAUUUCCUGUUUGCCUUGCUUUGCCCAAGGAUGUCUUUUGACCUCUCUUCCUUCUGUGGGACCUCUUGCCUUCCCUGUGUUCCUCCACCACUUCCUCCUCCUUCCUUGGAUUUUCUUGAGGAUAUAUGAGGGCCAAGUCAGCUGCGGGCAUCCAGGAUUGUGUCUGCUCUCUGCCCUCCACGCUCCCCCAUGGUUGGAGCUCCUGGCCAUCUGUGUUUACUCAGCCAUCCUUGGGAGGAUUGGGUGGUGACCAGGUGAGUGGUGCAGGGUGGUGCAGAGGGCUUGAUACUUGGGGCCGCCUCCUCAUCGGUGCUGUCAAGCCACCAGCGUCUGCGAGUCCAUGACCCCAAGUGCUGAUUGACAAGACCCCAGGGACACGAUCCUGGUCUUGUCAGUGAACCAUCACCAGGCUACUUAGAAACCAGAUGCAGCGAGAAAGAUAGAACUUCACCCCUUCCCCACUCCGAGGUAAGUCGGGUGUGGCCUGCCUCCUCUGGGCUCCCCCUGCCCCCUUCCCUUCUGGAGACCUCUGUCCGUGUUCAGUGGGGAAUCCUCAGCCUUCGCCAUUCAGAUUCUCCCAAACAAUCGCUCCCUUAUUUCCAUUUUCCUGCUUCUGGAUUUUCUGUGAAUGGGGUUAGUAACCAGCAAAGCUUGGGGGAAGGGCAGCCAGCCGAGGCCAUCAGGGUGCUGGGAUGUGUGGAGAUGCUGGGGAGUGUCGCUGGGAGUGGCGGCCGGGCCUCCCGCACUAAUGACCCGGAACUCUCAUAGCCCCUCACGUCCAGCGGGAGACCCUGGGUUGAAGCCCUCCGAGGUGCCAGGAGCCUGCCUCGGGCUCUGCAUUCUUUUCCCUGUGUGGCCCCAGUGCAUGUUCUCUCUCCUUCUAGACACCUGUAGCCUUGCGGGGCUUUAGUUUAGGGCUGUGGGCUGGGCACUGGACUUUAGGGCUUCUUCCUACUUGUGGGGGUUUCUGAGUGAAUCGCUUGGCCCCUCUGGGCCCUCAUUGCCUUAGCCUUAAAAAGAAAAACAGAAAAACCCCUGGCCCAGGAAGCCAUUGGAAAGCAUUGCUGGGCAAUUGAUGCAGAAAUGUUUUUCCCCUGCCUCACUUCAUGCUGGUCACAAGUAAUAGCAAUGCAAUGGUGAUUAAAAUGAUGACAGCCUGCAGAGCUCGGGGGUCUGUCACAUCAUGGAGAGAAUUCGGAAAGUGGACUGCCGGUGCUCGCCACGUCACCAGGACCCCUCUCUCCUGUCAGGUAGGUUUCCUGCAAUGUUCUGGGCCAGGAGGUCUGGUUGGCAUUAGCCAACACCAGACUUGUGUGGGGUUGAAAGAUGAUACCAGGAGGCCCUGCGGGAUCCCACCUGUGUGCCCGUGUCCCGUGGUGGUUGCUGGUGUUUCCUCUCCCCCACCUGCUCCCACCACUGCCCAGAAGGAUUCGUGAGCUCUGCCUGCUAGUGUUUCCUCUGCUCUCCUUCCCAUGUGAGACGAGUCCGUGCACGGGCUGUGAGCAGCUUGCGGUCUUGCCAUGUGAGGAAUCCAGUCCGGCGUCUCUUCCUUCAAGGCAUCUGACAAGUCUCAGCCCCUGCAGCAGUGAUGUAGGAAGGGCUGGCCGGGAUGUUGGACCUGCGACACAGAGGGGACACAGCAGCAUCGGUGCAGCUGGGGGAGGUGAAGAGGAGCAGGCCAGGUCCCUCCAGGUGUACACAAGUGUUGUUCCUGCCUCUGUGCUGGUAUCUCCCCAGAGUACAGCCCUUCCAGUCUCCCUGUAUCAGAGCCCUGAAGCCAGCAUUGCCCGUGGCAGGAGGACGGGUGGUCCGGGCUCUGCUUCCUGCGCCCCUCCCCCGCCCAGGCUGGAACUUGCGUCAGGCCCGUAAGUAGCCGUGACUCAGCACCCGCCAGUCCCGUAAGUAGCUGUGACUCAGCACCGACGGGUCGGGAAGGAGAAGCCGCCCGGCAGGAAGCAUCCCCGCGUUCUGGAUUUGGACACAUUGUGGCACUGAACAAGCCAGCAGCCUGAAGUUCCUGGGGGCGAAGAGAUGUUCUUCCCUGGGUUUGCAUAGGGAUUUCAUGAACGGGAUCCCUUUCCUCUCCAUUUUGCUCCCAUGUUAUUUUUUGGGCACCAUGCUGGGCACAGGAAUUUUAGGCCUUUGAAAGACACAGACAAUGCAGCAGGAGCUCUCUUUGCCGUCUCCAGAGGGUUCUUUAAACAACAGCUCAUGAAUUGUAUUUAACCCUCAGAUGUUUUUGUUUGACCCACACAGAGGUCUUUUUUUUUUUUUGGAUGUGUCUGAUUUUGCAUGCCCUUAGGCAAAAAAGCCUCUCCAGGUCACUGUACCGCUGCUGCAAGCUGCCGCCGCUUCUUUGGUUUAGUUGGCUGCCGAGCCCCAGAGCGUGUGAGUGUGUGUGGACCGGUGUGUGCCAGCUGCCUCCCGUUUCAGGUGAACGCGUGGAGGCCACUGCAGGGAAGUGCCGGCUCCUGGUCGCAGAGUCCGGGGCGAGCAGGAAUUAAAGCCACUGUGUUCUGAUUGACUGGGUGGUGACCUUUCUCCCACCCUCAGGUCCCUCCCUGCCCAGGCAGAGGAGUGUCCUAGGCAUGAGGGGGCGGAAAAACCUCCAAAUAGAAUGUGGGCACAGAAAUGGACUAGGGCUGCAUGCAGUGUGUUCCCCAAACCGUCUUCCUGCAAGCCGGCCCCUCCCAGAGCUGACAUAAUCCACCCUUCUGGGUGGGCGGCCUUCCUUCCCAGGCAACCCACCAAGCCCUUUUCUACUGGCCAGUUUUCAUGGGCCAUUAGGCCAAGAUGGGAGAUCCUGCCACCGGCCGUUGACAGCAGUGGGCUGGAACUUUGAGGGGCUGCCUCCUCACAGGUGAAGGUCAAGCCCCUUCCAGCCUAUUCCAAACUGCCGGGCUACAUCCAGCUAGGAAACAAAACACCAGCUUGUUUCAGGUAAGUGAGUCAUUGCUCAGCAGAUUCUGAGAGAAGCAGCCUGGUUCUGUUGGGAGGGCUGACAUCUGAACAGACCUUUUAUCCAGUGGGAUUGGAAGGGCAGAAGGCUUUGGUUCUAAGGUCACUUCCCCCCAACACACACCUUCUUUUAGAGUGUUUACAGUGGUGUGUUGUGAAUGAUUUCUAGUGUCUUCUUCCGACUGAGAGUGUUUUAGAGCUCAGGAGUCCAGAGCCCGAACUGCAGUGCGCGCCUGUUAGUUCCACGGUGGCGGCUGCUGCUCUUCUGUGUGCAGCCGCUGCUCUGAGCUCUGGGCUGACAUGCCCUGGGGGGCAGGAGAGACAGCGAUUGCCACCCUGAUGACUACGUGGCAUAAAUGUGUUCUGAAGGGCAAGCCCAAGACGCUGUGACAGAUGACCUGGCUGGACUGGGGGACGCUCUCUUGAUUGCUGGAGGACGACUUAGGCCUGGGUUACCUGGGUGGGUUGGUGGGAGGAGGUGGCUCCAGGAUGGAGCGGAUGGAGAGCGUCCCCGGGAGAGGAGAGGGAACCGCUUACGCAGAGGCCUCGGCGGGGAGGAGGAGUGGAUCACUCAGGAGACCCGAGGGACGACUCCUUAGGAAAGGGUUUUGGGGAUGCUGGCGACGGGGAGUUGCCAAGGAAGAAGUGUGCGGUGAGAGUAAAAAGCAGAAAAGCUGAGAAUUAUGCAGUGUAGAACUCCAACCCCCUCAUUUCAUAGGAUUCAGAUCCGAAGGUAUAGUGGAGCCAUUUAACACUCACUGUGACCUUAAAACCCUACAUGACCUGAUCUACGGGGUCCAGCUGUUGACAGCGGGUGGCCUCAGAGGCCUGCAGGGCUAGGCUGGUGUCCAAAGCACUCGGGAGUCCUGUGCAGAUGUUGCCGUGGUCUCCACUGCCACGGCCAUGGGAGGGCACAGGGGCACCAGAGAUGCAGGAGAACAAAGCGAGAACCCUCAAACCACCUGGGCCCUUGGAGGCCCGCUGAGCUCCUGUCGCCACGUGAGUUUAUGUGUUGUAUCAUCGGUAACAUGUUACUUCUGGGCAAAAAUACUGCCCGUGAUUCUCCCUGCCCCAGUCUUGCUCAUAAUUGAGAACAGAGAUGGUUCAGCUGUGGAGCGGGAGGCAGGGGGCAGAGGGGCAGGAGCACAGACUUUGGAGUUAGAGCUGCAUCUACACCAUUUCCUAGUCAUUGCACCUGUGGACAAGCUGUUGAACUGUGGUAGGGGCAGUUUCUUCUGUGAACGUGGAAAUAGCCUCUGCUUGCAUUUCAGACUAUGCGACCAGUCAAGAGCACAACUCCGUUCAAAUUUUUCUUCCCUUUUCCCUGGAGUGGCACGUUCCUUUCCUUCCAGGAGCCGUAACAAAUACCAGCCUGGAUGUAGAUGCCUAAGGAACUGGUAGGGACCCCGAAAGGUACAGGUGCUACGUGUCUCCUCUCUCUCUCUCUCUCUCUCUCUCUCUCUCUCUCUCUCUCUUGGCUGUGGUAUCAGAGGAAAUGUGUCUGCGGUCACACCACCAGUGGAACUGCGAGAAGACGUUGCUCCUCAGGGCAGAGGCUGGACCUUCCUAGUGCAUCUCCCUCGUUUCUUCAGUGAGAUCCUCUUCUUCUGGAAGCUGGUUUCACAUGGUGGCUUAGAUUUUCCCAUCUUUGUAUCUAGCACCAUUUGAAAUCAGUGUUUUAGGAGUAAGAAUUGCAGCGCAGCGAAGGGCCGACUGCAGAGGGGCUGCGGCGGGCGGGACGGGCUCCUGGCCUGCCUCCUGAGCGGGGUGCAGAGGAAGACCUUGCAAAGCAAAACGCGCUCUUGUGUUGGGCCGUGGAGGGGUGACAGUGCGGGAGGGGGUGGGUGUGCUUCAGAGACACUCAGCGGCUCAAGUAGGGCCGUCGGUUGUGACGCGCCUCCCCACUGGCAGCGGGUGCCCCCCGGUAGCCUGGGGCAGUGCUGGGCUGGGUCAUGGACUGAAGCAGGGAGGGGAGGGGCCUGUGCCCCCGCACGCCUGUUGCGUCCCAUCGGCACUGCCCGCCUGCUGUAGGCGUCUGCGAACAUUCAGCUCAGUUGCAGCGCGGCUGACGCCACACCUGCCCCCUGCGUUGCCAGUGCGGGCCCCCCAGGAGCACCCCCGGACCCAUCUCUUACACAGGCUGACCGAUUUCUCCUGGUGUUCAGAGUCUGUUUUUGUCUAGCACCAUUUGAAAUCGGUUAUGAUGUAGGGGGAAAAGCAGCGGCCUCGAAGCCUCCUGCCAAGUCCGCUCAGCACAGCCUGUGCGUUCCCGGAGGAUGGAUGGGCGGAGUGGGCCAGGAAGAUCACUCCUACUGACUUUAUGGUACUAACUGCAUUUAUGGUACUUUACUGCAGAGGUAAGAUAACUUAAUGGAUCUUUUCACGCAGAUCACUAUAAUUUAUCUGAUGUUCUCUGUUUUGUUGAAAUGUGGUAGUGCGGCAAACUUUAUAAAUUGGUUGCUCUUGAAUUAUCUUUCCGUUAAGAAGAGUCUAAUCGUGCAUUGUGACCUUAAUAAAUAUUUUACUGUGUUCGAUUCAUCAUGUCUUUGUUUCACAUCUGUUGCUUUCCAUUCAUAAUUCCGUGAUGAUGAGAAGCAGGGCCCUGAAAAGAUCAUUUGCUCCGCUGGCCUUACCCCCUUCGUAGAGAAUUUGGAGAGGUCACAGAAGACAGACAUUAAAAAUGAAGCCAAUUAAUACAAGAAUGAAAUGCUGUGAGCCAAGAAAUAAAAUGAGAGGCAAGAGAAAAAUGUUGCACCCCUGGGCUGAGAGGGGCCGCAUAUUGAAUGGGAAGCUGACAGUUGGUUCUAAAUGGGCCAUAGCCCAGCACCUCUGUCGUCAGUGUCGGUUGGAAAAAGUUCUGCUUAACCGAACAUCCUGUCACAUGGCCCUUCAGGGGAGCAGCCUGAUUAUUUCAGUUUCAUAAUCAGAGAUGGAGGCGUUCUACUUCUGGUUCUUAGUUUUUUUAAAGACAACCCCCUAGACGGGGCAAACCAGUUCUGUAAAGGUGGUCAGCUACUAGCCUGAUGAAACCUCACAGGGCGUUAAGUUUGGGGAAUCUUCAGCUCCUGACAGCUUUCUGCACAGGAGAUGGGUAGCCAACUGUGAACUGCUGGUGGCACUUCAGUGGCAGCUCAGCCACCUGGGACCCUUUCCAAAAUCCACAUGCUGCCAGUCUUCCCCCAGAUGGUGGCCCUGCCCAGGGGCUGGGGCGGAGGGUGUGUGAAACAUCUGGGAGAACUUCCUGUGGGGGAGAUGUACCCCCUCACUGCAGCUGCAGUGCUGUUUCGGGCUGUUGAUGGAAGAAUCUAUAUUCUAACCCCCAGGAUGUGGUAGUGGGAAUAAUUAAGACCCUAAAUUGUUUUAUUCACCUCUGCACUGAGGUAGGUUCCAGUGGUGCCUAAGCAUGUGUAACAGCUGUGGGUCAUUGUAGCCAACUGAACGAUUUCUGAUUCAUCUACCUAGUGCCAAGCUCCAACCUGGCUACUGUACAUAUAAAACAAGGAGACACGGAUUCUGCCAAGGAGCGUUGAUGCCGGUCCCUGAAUGCUAGAAAUGCUGGAAGAUCAAGAUCGGCAUCCAGGCCCAGAAACGAGGCCUUGAGACGUCUUUUCCAUAAGCUUGUGGGUGAAUGCUUAAUUGUAGACCGUAGCACCUGGCUAGGUCCUGAGCAGCAGCGCGUGCCCCAGGAACUGAGGUACCUCUCCAACAAGACUUUGCCUUUAUUCAUCUGGAUGCUGACAGCCCGUCGCCUAGAAUCGUUACUCCAAGGUGGUUUUCGUAAUGAAUUAGUAAGCAGAAUGUUUCUUCUGCAGGCGGCCUGAACCUGGUCUUGGAGACCAUGGUAUUCACAUCGAUAGAAAAUGUUUGGGGCAGGGGACCCACUUGCCUAGAUUUUACCACAGUUUUAGCUGUAAAUGUGUUAAGUAGAGAAGAGGUGUUGGAUUGGAGGCACGCGCAAACCUCAUGUAAGCUGUAUGGCAAAUAAUUCCCAUCUGUGGAAAUAAAUGCUGAUGGGUUCUUAA